CACCUACGAUCUCUGCCAAGUGAAGAACCCCUUUCUCCUCUCUUCUUCCCAUUAUUCUUCACCCUUCUUUUUGAUUCUCUCUCGUUAGGAACUUCGUCGACCGAUCUGAUCGAGUUUGAUUGCUCGUCUUCCACUGAUCGCCAUAAUCCAUCUCUGAUCGUCUGAUCUAUCUUUCUCGGACUCUGAAAUUCCGGGAAAACCGGCGUUAGGUCGCGAAUUCGUAGUUCUGUAUUAAAGGAGCAAAGAUGAGGUCUCUUCAUGCACCGGUUGUUUGCCCUGCAGUUCAUCCCCGACGAGUGAAUGCUUGUGCUUCACUUGUCGGCUACACUGGCUCGAAAACAAGGUUUAUUAGAAAUCGAUUCUUGGGUAGUCCUGCAAAAAUUGUCAAGACCCAGGCUGCUGCAGUCCAUCUUCAGUUGCAUCUUCGAAGAUGCAAGAGUAUACAAUGUGUUUUCAGUUCACAUUCUGAUGGUACUGGGAGCACCGCAGAGAAUUUCAACGAAAACGACGAAGAGUAUGUUAACUCUAGUGUGGUGGAAGCUGUUGAGGUACAGAGUGGAGCUGAUGGUUUCACGGUGAAGAUGAGGGAUGGCAGGCACCUACGCUGUGUUCAUAACAAUCCUCAAGGAGGGCAUCUACCGAAUUAUGCUCCGCACCCUGCAAUCGUCUUGAAAAUGGAAGAUGGAACCGGUCUUCUCCUUCCAAUUAUCGUGUUGGAGAUGCCGAGUGUUUUGCUAAUGGCUGCUUUGACUAAUGUCCAAAUUGCAAGACCCACUAUGUAUCAAGUGGUGAAGGAGAUGGUCGACAAGAUGGGCUACGAAGUUAGACUUGUUAGAGUCACCAAAAGAGUUCACGAGGCAUAUUUCGCCCAGUUAUACCUUUCAAAGGUGGGUAACACAUCUAAUUUCAUCAGCUUUGACCUCCGGCCUUCAGAUGCAAUCAAUAUAGCUGUGAGAUGCAAGGUACCUAUUCAAGUCAACAAGUUCUUAGCUUAUAGUGAUGGGAUGCGGGUGAUUGAAUCGGGGAAGCUAUUGGCUCAGACACGUCCUUCAGAUGGAUUAUUAUUUACUGACUUAGACCAUCCAAGUUCUCAGCCUUGUCUUGAUACAAAAGAGUUCAAUCUUUUGAGGAACUUGGUGCAAGCUGUUGAUGAAGAACGGUACGACGAAGCUGCUUCUGUAUGAACAAGCAAGAUGCUUGGCGUUCUUGUUCUUGAUUCGAGAUCAGUAAGCGUCUUCACUCCAUGAUUUUGUAGCUGAGUGGAGAGACAAGCUUGGCCAGUUUCGGGCGAAACGAAACUUGAGGAAAUACACGUGAGAGCUUUGAAGGGACAGUAACUGUUGUUCAUAAUAAGAGGAAGCCAUUGUUUGGAGGCUCUGAAUCUCAGAGAUCAAAGUGCAGAAGAGCAUGCAAUGCUUCACUCUCUCCUUCUACAACUGUUGUAUUAUAAAUCCAAAAACAAAAUUGUAUGUAGUAUACUUACUGUGUCUGUAAAUACUUCACUUAUUAUUAAUCUACGUUCAAGCCCUUAAAGCAGGUUUCUUGUUA